rnacentral:lncRNA from 1 species
GGUUGUGACAUUAAAUGGAACGGUGGCUUUUGAAGUUCAGGCUUCAGAACUGAGGCGGUUUUUCCACCUUGGCAGUUAAGUUGCAGCCUCCUUCCAUGGAUGCCAGGCCAAGGAAACAAACAGUUCCACAUCUGCCUGAGGCACCUCCACGGAGUCAACCCACCACUUCCACUGAGGACCCAUCCCAAAGCUCACCUGCUGCUCAGCUGCUCUGCCAUGGCCCUCCUGGAGUCAGAACCAGCUGAGCCAAAAGGGAGAAGACAAGUUAACAAAGAAAGCCCAUUUCCCAAAGGAGAGACUUGCAUUCCUGGAGAUGUCAACUACAACAAUGGCAAUGGAUGUGUAUGAACCAACAUGCAAUGGAGAAGACGAGCCAAAAUGAUAUUGGUGAGUUAUGAGAUAUGAUUUCAUUUUGAAGCAAAAUAAUAUUUUAUUCUUCUCUUGGAAUUUUUUACAUUUCAUUUCCACUCAAGACUUUGAAGCUAAUAUUCGAAUGCUCCCAAGGGGGCACGUUAUAGGGACAGAACACCUGUCAGAGACACGUGCAGUCAUCUGCUCUUUGCAAUUUCUUCACGAGGGAUAAGGGAGAUAUGCCCCAUCUAAUUAAAUGCGAGCAAUUCUUUGUGAGUAUGAUAAGCAAAUACUGACUUUUUCGCUGUGAAAAAGACAACCAUAGUUGGACUGGCACCAAAAGCAAGUGAGGAGAACAACCUACUUAAUCAAUAGCUGGGCCAGGUGGCUGAGUAUAUGAGAGAGAAAUGAUUUCCAAGCUGCGUGCCAAGCUCAUGUUCUCUGCAGUGGGGCCCCAUUUUGUGCUGGGGAAGAGUCAGGACACUUAACUCAUAGUAUCAUGGGAUGCUUUGGGCAGAGAAUUGACUGCUGUUGGCUGGAGGUGCUGAAAGACAGUGCAGAUCUUGCUGUAGCUCUGAAAAUAGAUCUGCACCUGUCAUUAGUGUCAGUGUUGCCAUUAAAUUCCCAUCCAAGGGCGUAAAUAAUUUGCAAAUAAGAGCGAUUUUCAAACUAGACUCCACUCCUCUUCCCAAAUCUUUCUGAUUACUCAAAAGUCAAGACAGGGUAUUGCAAUUGUUAGAAAGAAGGAAACAUAAGGUAAAACCCCACACGAUUAAAAACUGCAAGAAAGCAUGCAACAAACUACUCCAAGUUUAAAAUGUGGUCAAAGAUCAACACAUCAACUUGGAUGUACCUGAAGAAAUACAGGGGCAAUUUGAAGUGCCAGCUUCUCUCUUCCUGCUCUUCUUCAUUCUUUCCUUUGCAUGUUGUUUCCAGGCUUGUCAAAGCAAAGACCAUCUCUUACUGCUUUCACCAUCAUACCUGCUACCUGGGAUCC